rnacentral:rRNA from 1 species
AUUGAACGCUGGCGGCAUGCCUAACACAUGCAAGUCGAACGGAGGUAGGGGCAACUCUACUUCAGUGGCGGACGGGUGAGGAAUGCGUCGGAAUCUACCCUAUGGUGGGGGAUAACACAGGGAAACUUGUGCUAAUACCGCAUAAUGUCGAGAGACCAAAGCAGGGGACCGCAAGGCCUUGCGCGAUAGGAUGAGCCGACGCCCGAUUAGCUAGUUGGUAGGGUAAAGGCCUACCAAGGCGACGAUCGGUAGCUGGUCUGAGAGGAUGAUCAGCCACACUGGGACUGAGACACGGCCCAGACUCCUACGGGAGGCAGCAGUGGGGAAUAUUGGACAAUGGGCGCAAGCCUGAUCCAGCAAUGCCGCGUGUGUGAAGAAGGCCUGCGGGUUGUAAAGCACUUUUGUUCGGGAAGAAAUCAUGCUGGUUAAUACCUGGUAUGGAUGACGGUACCGAAAGAAUAAGCACCGGCUAACUUCGUGCCAGCAGCCGCGGU